CCAGCUAAAACUAGAAGUUUCUGUAAGAGCCAGAGUCUCAUAACAUAGCAGGGAAAUGUCCAUGUUCCAAUCAAGGAUUGUAUGACGUACAAAAACAAACAAAACUCCCAGGACAGUAUUGAUCUGCAUGGAUGUAGCCCAGUGGAAAGGUGCUGGGGUUCAACCCCGAGAACAAAACAGAGGACAUUCCAUAGAUGCCAAUAUCAAGAUGACAGGAUUACCUAAGAAAGAUUUUAAAUUUUAAAGCACUCAUAUUAACGCUCCAAAGAGCAAAUACGAACAUGUAGGCCCUCAGCAAAGAAAUAGAACAUCUUUUUAAAAAGACCUACAGAAAAUAUAAAAGAAAAGCAAAGGGAAAUUUUAGACCUGAAAAAUACAAUAAUCAAUAACCAAAGUAAAAGCCUCAAUGGAUGAUCUCAAUAGUAAAAUGGAGAGGCAGAAGAAAGAAUAAAUUUAAGGAUAUAACACAUUGAAGAGAAAGAAAAUAGAAUUAAAGAUAAUAAUAUUGAGCAGAGGCUCAGGGACCUGUGGGACCAUAACAAAAGAUCUAACAUUUGUAUAUUUGGAGUCCCAGAAAGAGAGAAAAGAGGACAGGGCUUAAAGAUUACUCAAAGAAAUAAUGACUAAAAAUAUCCCAAAUUUGUCAAGAGACUCAAAACUGUAGAUUCAGAAUGCUACAUAAGAAAGUUCUGAGAAGGGAAAAUAAGGCUCUCUAGUGAUUAUCUCCCAAAGAGACAUAAAUUUGAUCAGAUAUCCACAUGCAAAAUACCUUCACAAGAGCUAAGAAAGCCAGGCGCGAGGUCACAGGCCCUGGUCAUGGUGUCACAGUGAGAGAAGACACACUGACCAGAACAUGAAGGGAGGUCCUCCUCCACCUGCUUGGCUCACCCUCCAGACCCAGGCAGCAAGCACGCAGAAGGCUACCAUCCACCCAGGGUGAGGAAGAAGGGAUGUGCACAUAGGGUCUGCACUGGCCUCAAAUGCCACACCGGGCACGAAGCAGACUCAUGGCCCUUGACACCACCAUACCUGUGGACCAGGUCAGAAGACCCACACCAAUGCCAGACAACACAAUCAUCUACAUAGAAAAUCCUAAGUAAUCUACCGAAAAAUCCAAAAGCCAAGAAGAGACUUCAGGAAGGCUGCAAAAUGAACAUACACAUUAGUCAAUAUUUUGUAUACUGGCAACACAUCCGUGAAAGCAAAAUUAAAAGUAUAGUAUCAUUUGCCAUCACUCAAAAUUAAUACAUAGGUAUAAAAUAACUAAGCAUGCACAGGAUUUGCAUGUUGGAAACUACACAAUGCUAAUGAAA